UAAUCACUUGUCUUUUAAAUGGAGACCUGUAUGAAUGGCAUAACGAGGGUUUUACUGUCUCCUCCCCCCAGUCAAUGAAAUUGAUCUCCCCGUGCAGAAGCGGGGAUAGUAACAUAAGACGAGAAGACCCUAUGGAGCUUCAGGCAAAUGAUCAAGCUCACGAAGUCCUAGCAUUAAAUAAGUGUAGGAAAAGCAUAAAGCGUAUGAUCAAAGUGCCUUCGGUUGGGGCGACCAUGGAGGAAAGAAAAGCCUCCACGUGGAACGGGAAAACCCUUGAACUAAGAAGAACAACUCUAAGUACCAGAAAAUCUGACCAAGAAUGACCCAGACUUAAAUCUGAUCAACGAACCGAGUUACCCUAGGGAUAACAGCGCGAUCCCCUCCCAGAGUCCA
rnacentral:rRNA from 1 species